CGGCCGCGGGACCCCGCCCCGCCCGCCGCCCGGUUGCCAUGGCGACGCCGUCGCGCCGAGGCCCGCGGAACCGGCUGAGCGACUCGGGCGCGCCGCGGGGAGGCUCGCGGGACGCUCCGGUAGGCGAGCCUUGGCCUCAGCAUGGAGGGGAGGGCCACCGCGUCCACCCCUGCAGCGCUGCCUUACUACGUGGCCUUCUCCCAGCUGCUGGGCCUGACCUUGGUGGCCAUGACUGGCGCUUGGCUUGGUCUGUACCGAGGCGGCAUUGCCUGGGAGAGCGACCUGCAGUUCAAUGUGCACCCGCUCUGCAUGGCCAUAGGCCUGAUCUUCCUGCAGGGAGAUGCCCUGCUGGUUUACCGUGUCUUCAGGAAUGAAGCCAAACGCACCACCAAGGUCCUGCACGGACUGCUGCACGUCUUUGCGCUCAUCAUCGCUCUGGUUGGCUUGGUGGCGGUGUUCGACUACCACAGGAAGAAGGGCUACGCUGACCUGUACAGCCUGCACAGCUGGUGUGGGAUCCUGGUCUUUGUCCUGUACUUCGUGCAGUGGCUGGUGGGCUUCAGCUUCUUCCUCUUCCCUGGAGCCUCGUUUUCCCUGAGGAGCCGCUACCGCGCGUCACACGUCUUCUUUGGCGCCACCAUCUUCCUCCUCUCCGUGGGCACCGCCCUGCUGGGCCUGAAGGAGGCCCUGCUGUUCAAGCUCGGGCCUGGGGAUGUGUCAGUGAUGCCUGCUGCCAAAAACUGGGUUGGAUUUGUAUGCAACUUCAGGAGAGGAUAAUCCAGCUGAUCUCGACACAGUGCAAUGGCUUUCACAUGGAACAGACCAAGGGAGUUUAUUUGUGUUCAGGGUAUGGAGACUUCAGCUUGAACUGUAUAGAUCUGAGCGCUCUGUAUCAGGAAUCAUCAAUACCUCACUCCACUUUCGACCCCAGCUAGUAUGGAUGGAGAACAGCCCCUCUCCCUACUCUCCCGAGGCUUGUUUAAAGGAACUCACCACCUCAGCAUCACCAUAGAAAGCUGCCAGAUCCAGUGGGGUACGGCCAUUCUUGUCAGCAUGGUCUGUGGCAGCUCCGUUAUCCACCAGAGAACGUACUACUGAGAGAUGGCCCUUCAAACAAGCCCAGCUGAGGGCUGUCAAUCCUUCUUUGUCCAUGAGAGCAAUGGAGGCACCUGCAAAGGCAAGUGAUAGCACAGGGCUGAGGAGACACGGAAACGCACAGCAGGCAGGGAAGUGUGUUGAAGGGGCAUGCUCCACCAAAUGACACCGCUUGCUUCUGGACUACUUCCAUGUUAAGACUGAUCCUGGUAUGCCAAUUAUGUCUCAAUAAAACUGUUAAAAGUUCAUCCUACAAGCUUUCACUAACACAGAUUCCAGUUGUUUCAUUGGGUAUUCAAGGUCAUCCACAAUCUAUUCCCAAUUACUCUCUAUAAUUAAGUUUUAUUAUUCCCCUGUGAGAAUCCUCUACUUCAGCCAAAUGGAUGUGCUCACUGCCUCUCGAGGCUCCCAGAAAUCCUCCUGCAUCCUCACUCUCGGUCACGUUGCUCCCUAUGUGGAAGAGCUCUUCUUCUCCCAAGACUUGCCUCCCAUCCUCCCAUCCUCCAGGAACUAUCUCCAUCCUCCUGCCUCUAAGAAGCUUCUCAUGGUUCACUGCUACCUCAUCUUAAAUAUGCUUAACGUAAGUCAACUUAUUCCAUUAUUUAUCUAUUCUUAUGUAUCCUAUUUGCAGGUAAUAAAUUCUCAAUGAGCA